GCCGAUGUGGCUCAGUGGUAGAGCAGCUGAUUCGUAAUCAGCAGGCCACGGGUUCAAAUCCCGUCAUCGGCUCUA
rnacentral:tRNA from 2 species